UAUCAUACCUUUAUGUUUGAAGCUGAGACCGGCGAUAUUCCCAAGUAAUACGGCAGAUGAAGACACAAGUUUUAGUAAGGGAGGGCUCCUGCAGAGAUCAAUUCACGGACGCUAAUGUUGCCUUGAAUUAUAGUAUGAUAACCGACAGAGAUCAAGUCAAAGUCAGGCCUGCAGCGACGAGCCCCUUUCUUUCGGAUUGUGAAGUGUAAUGUUAAUGUUUAAUGUAGCUGUUUAACGUCGAAAAUUGUUAGUUUGUAAUUGUUUUUGAGAAGCAAAAUAAUUAAUCUGAGAAGUGUUUCCAGUUUUAUAAAGCUCAGGCAUGGGCACCGUAUUGUUUAUUUAGUUAUAUUUUAUACAAUAUCUUUGACCUUUGUCGCAUUAAGUUGUAGUACUACUACUAGUAGCGGGGUAGUACUAGUAAAUACUGAAUACUGUGUUUCGUUUAUUCUAUAAGUAUAUAAAUAUUGCUUUGUGUAUCUUUGUCGCAUAGUACAUAGUAUAAGUUGAUAAGUAGCGAGGUAGUUGAUACUGUUUCGUGAUGUAUUUUGAUCGUACAAUCUUAAUUAUUCGUAUUAUUAUACCGCAA